GAUGAAGAACGCAGCGAAAUGCGAUAAGUAAUGUGAAUUGCAGAAUUCAGUGAAUCAUCGAAUCUUUGAACGCACAUUGCGCCCCCUGGUAUUCCGGGGGGAAUGCCUGUUCGAGCGUCAUUUCACCACUCAAGCCUCGCUUGGUAUUGGGCAACGCGGUCCGCCGCGUGCCUCAAAUCGACCGGCUGGGUCUUCUGUCCCCUAAGCGUUGUGGAAACUAUUCGCUAAAGGGUGUUCGGGAGGCUACGCCGUAAAACAACCCCAUUUCUAAGGUUGACCUCGGAUCAGGUAGGGAUACCCGCUGAACUUAAGCAUAUAAUAAGCGGAGGA
rnacentral:misc_RNA from 1 species